GAUGAACGCUAGCGGCAGGCCUAAUACAUGCAAGCCGAACGGCAAGUUUGAUAGCAAUAUUGGACCUAGAGUGGCGCAAGGGUGCGUAACACGUAUGCAACCUGCCCGCGACAGGAGGAUAGCUCCCCGAAAGGGGAAUUAACCCUCCAUAACACCAUGAGAAGGCAUCUGAUUAUGGUUAAACCGCAAGGUGUCGCGGAUGGGCAUGCGGUUGAUUAGCUAGUUGGCGGGGUAAAGGCCCACCAAGGCGGUGAUCAAUAGGGGUUCUGAGAGGAAGGUCACCGGAACUGGCACUGGGAAACGGGCCAGACUCCUACGGGAGGCAGCAGUAGGGAAUAAUGGACAGUAGUUGUAAGACUGAUCCAGCCAUGCCGCGUGGAGGAAGAAGGCAUUCUGAGUCGUAAACUGCUUUUUACUGUGGAUAAAAUACCCGUGCGCGGGGAAUUGAAGGUAACAGGGGAAUAAGCCACGGCUAACUACGUG
rnacentral:rRNA from 1 species